rnacentral:rRNA from 1 species
AGUGAACGCUGGCGGCAGGCCUAACACAUGCAAGUCGAACGGCAGCACACUAAGAGCUUGCUCUUACGGGUGGCGAGUGGCGGACGGGUGAGGUAUACAUCGGAAUCUACUUUUUCGUGGGGGAUAACGUAGGUAAACUUACGCUAAUACCGCAUACGACCUACGGUUGAAAGCAGUGGAUCUUCGGACCUUGCGCGAUUGAAUUAGCCGAUGUCGGAUUAGCUAGUUGGCGGGGUAAAGGCCCACCAAGGCGACGAUCCGUAGCUGGUGUGAGAGGAUGAUCAGCGACACUGGAACUGAGACACGGUCCAGACUCCUACGGGAGGCAGCAGUGGGGAAUAGUGGACAGUGGGGGCAAGCCUGAUCCAGCGAUACCGCGUGGGUGAAGAAGGCCUUCGGGUUGUAAAGCCCUUUUGUUGGGAGAGAAAAGCAGCAGGCUAAUACCCCGCUGUUCUGACGGUACCCGAAGAAGAAGCACCGGCUAACUUCGUG